rnacentral:rRNA from 1 species
UAAGCAAUUAAGGGCUUAGGCUGGAUACCUUGGCGCUCAGAAGCGAUGAAGGGCGUGUCUACCAGCGAAAUGCUUCGGGGAGCUGGACGUAAGCUUUGAUCCGGAGGUUCCCGAAUGAGGAAACUUUUUAUACUGUACAUCUAAUUCAUAGGUGUACGAGAGCUAACCUGGAGAACUGAAACAUCUUAGUAUCCAGAGGAAAAUAAAGCAAUAGCGAUUCCCAUAGUAGCGGCGAGCGAAAAGGGAACAGCCUAAACCAUCUUCGCGGGUGGGGUUGUGGGACGGCAUGUGCUUUGGUAGUUAUGGUUAGGAGAAACUUUUGGAAUGAAGUACCGCAGAAGGUGAUGGUCCUGUACCCGAAAGCCUGUUACUAUUCUAUGCUGUAUCCCAAGUAGCAUGGGCCACGUGGAAUCCCGUGUGAAUCUGCGAGGACCACCUCGUAAGGCUAAAUAUUCCUGAGCGACCGAUAGCGUACAAGUACCGUGAGGGAAAGGUGAAAAGAACCCCGGAAGGGGAGUGAAAAAGAGCAUGAAAGCGUAAGUCUACAAGCAGUGGAAGGACGACUAAACGUUCGACUUCGUACCUGUUGAAGAAUGAGCCGGCGACUUAUAGGCAGUGGCAGGGUAAGGUGUUACUACUGGAGCCAUAGUGAAAGCGAGCUUUAAUAGAGCGUUGGUCACUGUUUAUAGACCCGAACCC